rnacentral:rRNA from 1 species
UACGAAGGGGGCUAGCGUUGCUCGGAAUCACUGGGCGUAAAGGGUGCGUAGGCGGGUUUUAAGUCAGGGUGAAAUCCUGGAGCUCAACUCCAGAACUGCCUUUGAUACUGAAGAUCUUGAGUUCGGGAGAGGUGAGUGGAACUGCGAGUGUAGAGGUGAAAUUCGUAGAUAUUCGCAAGAACACCAGUGGCGAAGGCGGCUCACUGGCCGAUACUGACGCUGAGCACGAAGCGUGGGAGCAACAGG